rnacentral:lncRNA from 1 species
GCUGAAAAGGAUACGUUUGCACCAGAACCUCCUGGAAUGCCUUCUGCCCUGCCCUGCGCGCGCACCGCACUCACACGCGCACACGCCCUAGCACACGCACGCUGCUCUUGCUCUCAGACGCUCUUCUCGCCAGACCCAAGGGGAAACACGGCCCUUUGAGGCGCGCUCGCCGAAGGCCUCCGCGGCGGGAACCUGCGCGCUGCCCGUGGGCAGCCCCCAGACCCAGGAAUGCGUCCACAGCGCCCACCCGCGGCAACUGGGCUCGGGCACGGCCAGCGCCCGCGAGCCGCGCAGCGUGCCCACCGGAGUCGGUUGUGUACCCAGGAGCCCCCCUAUGCACACACACACCUCCACCAAUGCACUCUCCAGACAACUGCUGGGAAAAAAAUAAAACACCAGCCCCAACCGCCAGCAACAAGGAAAGAUGUCGCAUCAGACUGUGACUGUUGCGAGGAGGAUGACAAGAGACUCUUGUUUCGGAGAGCUCCGGCAGUAACAACUUCAGAGAAAUGCGCCACCGCCAAGAAGUUUUCCUAGGACAGAACCAAAGUUGAGACGGCGGCAGGAGCAGAGCGGGAGAGAGGAGCCAGCCUCCCCUCUCGGCCCCCGCGCGCAGCCGACACCGCCACCGCCACCACGCCUUCAGGGGACGGAAAAAGUUUUGCGAGUGAGAUGCGUCCCUAAGGAGGCGAGAGGAGCGCGCACCAGGGCAGGGCCGGGCCGGCGGCCGGCCACCCCCGCGAGUCGGCCGGGGAAGAAAGGCACGGCGGCUUCCUUUGUUGUCUCCGACGAAACCUGCGCUUGGCAGGUGGACUGAGCCCGCAGCCCGGCCGAGGGCAGGAGGAGCGGGAGCCGGCGCGCGCCCCCGGGAGAGAGCCCCAAGUGCAGGUUCCCGCCCCCGCCCGGAUUGCCCCGCUGGAACGAGCCGAGCGCGCCGGGGCCGGGGGGCGGCCACGACCCCCCCUGAAGGGGGUGGCCACGGAGCGCGCCCGGAGAAGCGAGCCCCCCUCCCCAGAGCGCUGCUCCUGCUGCUGCUGCUGCUGCUGCUGCUGACCAAGGCCGGCCGGCGACCCCCGCGCCCUGUCGAGCGGCCCUGUCGUUGCAUUCGGCGGC